AGCGAACGCUGGCGGCAGGCCUAACACAUGCAAGUCGAACGAAGCCUUCGGGCUUAGUGGCGGACGGGUGAGUAACACGUGGGAACGUACCUUUUGGUUCGGAACAAUUCAGGGAAACUUGAGCUAAUACCGGAUGAGCCCUUAGGGGGAAAGAUUUAUCGCCGAAAGAGCGGCCCGCGUUAGAUUAGCUAGUUGGUGAGGUAAAGGCUCACCAAGGCAACGAUCUAUAGCUGGUCUGAGAGGAUGAUCAGCCACACUGGGACUGAGACACGGCCCAGACUCCUACGGGAGGCAGCAGUGGGGAAUCUUGCGCAAUGGGGGAAAGCCUGACACAGCCAUGCCGUGUGAAUGAUGAAGGUCUUAGAAUUGUAAAAUUCUUUUACCAGGGACGAUAAUGACGGUACCUGGAGAAAAAGCCCCGGCUAACUUCGUGCCAGCCGCCGCCGUAAGAC
rnacentral:rRNA from 1 species